AACCACUGAAGGACUUUAGGCAGGAAAGAGCUACAGCCCAGCGUGUGUUCCUGCAAGGAAGAUGCCCAGUGUGUGUCCUCACAAGGAACUUGCCCAGUGUGUGUUCCCACAAGGAACUUGGCUGUGAGCUGGACAAAUAUGCCGCCCACCUGGGUGGAUGCUCUGAUGCUCUGCUUCUGCUUCUGAGCUAGGAAUGUUCCUGCCCAACUUGCCUUUUACAGUACUGUGAGAUGCAGCCUGUACUUCACCUAGACGUCUCCUAGGAAUCCUGCUUCUUGAUCAGGCGAGCCUUAUCUAUUUGCUACUAGACUGGCAUGAUUUCAAAACGUGCCCAUUUUCUCAGCAAUGACUCUAGAUGUUCUUUGGUCAUAAUAAAGUUCUGAGCUAAAAGGA